AGCAGCCGCGGUAAUUCCAGCUCCAAUAGCGUAUAUUAAAGUUGCUGCAGUUAAAAAGCUCGUAGUUGAAUUUCGGGACUAAUAUGUUGGUCGUGCCUUUGGUAUGUACUGGCCUCACUGAUUCCUCCCUCUUGAAGAACUGUAAUGUUAUUAAUUUGGUGUUGCGGGGAAUCAGGACUGUUACUUUGAAAAAAUUAGAGUGUUUAAAGCAGGCUUACGCUUGAAUACAUUAGCAUGGAAUAAUGAAAUAGGACGUUUGAUCCUAUUUUGUUGGUUUCUAGGAUUGACGUAAUGAUUAAUAGGGAUAGUUGGGGGCAUUAGUAUUCAAUUGUCAGAGGUGAAAUUCUUGGAUUUAUUGAAGACUAACUACUGCGAAAGCAUUUGCCAAGGAUGUUUUCAUUAAUCAAGAACGAAAGUUAGGGGAUCGAAGACGAUCAGAUACCGUCGUAGUCUUAACCAUAAACUAUGCCGACUAGGGAUCGGAUGAUGUUAAUUUUUUAAUGACUCAUUCGGCGCCUUA
rnacentral:rRNA from 1 species